CUAUUGUGCCAUACCGCCUCGAGGACUUCAACGUGGCGCUGUACCACUCGCUUCUGCGUCGUCUGACAUCGUACUACACCUUCAUGCCGUUCCAUCAGUAUGUGGCGCUCGUCGAGGUUGACUGGGAGGCGUAUGUGUCGGUGAUUGCACGGGCGGUGCUUGAGCACCUGGCACGGUGUGUUAUGCGGUCUUCAUACAACAUGCAGCAGUUAGGAAGUCCCUCCCCUGCAGCCUCGGCGGGUGAAUUUGCUCGCAUUGUGAGAGUAGUUGGGGAUUCUCCCGCUCUCAGCGCCCCCUCCAAACCGGAAACUACUACUGUUGCUGCUACCGAAGCCCGCUUCGCUUUUCCAGAGCCGCGGCGCCACUUUACCAACGAUCUAGUGUACCAGGGCGCUGAGCGCAUCCCACCGAUGCCGUUCUUUACGCACAAGUACUUGGAUCUCUUUGUGUAUGUUCAGCGCAUCGGCCUAACAGCGAACGGCUGGCGCGGUGACAUGACACCUGGCAUGGCGCCGCAGGUGCUUACCUCCAUUAUUGCGCAGCCUGAUAUUCAGCGGCUCAUGACCGCUUUGGCUGCGAAAGACGGUGCAGCGAGGAAAGAGGUGGAGGCGCAAGCGAAACGUAUUCUGCUGCAGUGCGGCGAUACGCUGAAUCACGUGCAGUGUCGCGCGACGGGUCUCAUGAUCCGUGAGAUCUUUCGUCGCAUCUACUGCCGCAUCGACGUUAACGGCGGCGCCUAUGAGCGUCUCCACCGCUACUGCGCCAUGCCUCGUGUCGCCGUCGUCUUCGUCCCGCUGCAUCGCUCUUACAUUGACUUCCUCGUUCUCUCCAAGAUUCUGGCGAUCAUGCAGCUGCCGCUGCCGCACGUUGUAGCUGGAGAAAACUUUCUGAGCAUGGGCCUCCUCGCCACUCUGAUGCGAGGUAGCGGCGCCUUCUUCAUGCGCCGCUCCUUCCGCAGCGAUCCCCUGUACGCCGCGCUGC